UACGAAGGGGGCUAGCGUUGUCCGGAAUCACUGGGCGUAAAGCGCACGUAGGCGGAUUGUUAAGUCAGGGGUGAAAUCCUGGAGCUCAACUCCAGAACUGCCUUUGAUACUGGCGAUCUUGAGUCCGGGAGAGGUGAGUGGAACUCCGAGUGUAGAGGUGAAAUUCGUAGAUAUCAGGAGGAACACCAAUGGCGAAGGCAGCUCGCUGGAACGGUACUGACGCUGAGACGCGAAAGCGUGGGGAGCAAACAGG
rnacentral:rRNA from 1 species